rnacentral:rRNA from 1 species
CCUACGGGAGGCAGCAGUGGGGAAUAUUGGACAAUGGGCGCAAGCCUGAUCCAGCCAUGCCGCGUGUGUGAAGAAGGCCUUCGGGUUGUAAAGCACUUUUAUCCGGAAAGAAAAGCUUUGGGUUAAUACCCUGAAGUCAUGACGGUACCGGAAGAAUAAGCACCGGCUAACUUCGUGCCAGCAGCCGCGGUAAUACGAAGGGUGCAAGCGUUACUCGGAAUUACUGGGCGUAAAGCGUGCGUAGGUGGUUUGUUAAGUCUGAUGUGAAAGCCCUAGGCUCAACCUGGGAAUUGCAUUGGAUACUGGCAGGCUAGAGUGCGGUAGAGGAUAGUGGAAUUCCCGGUGUAGCAGUGAAAUGCGUAGAGAUCGGGAGGAACAUCUGUGGCGAAGGCGACUAUCUGGGCCAGCACUGACACUGAGGCACGAAAGCGUGGGGAGCAAACAGGAUUAGAUACCCUGGUAGUCCACGCCCUAAACGAUGCGAACUGGAUGUUGGGUGCAACUAGGCACUCAGUAUCGAAGCUAACGCGUUAAGUUCGCCGCCUGGGGAGUACGGUCGCAAGACUGAAACUCAAAGGAUUGACGG